rnacentral:rRNA from 1 species
AGUUUUUUGAUUUUUUAUAAAAAAUAUUUUCUGCUCGGUGAUAGUUAACAGCCGCGGUACUUUGACCGUGCAAAGGUAGCGUAAUCAUUUGCUCUAUAAUUGGGGGCUAGUAUGAAUGGGAUAAUAAAACAUAAGCUUUAUUGAGAAAAAAAUUUUAACUUGCUUUUUUGGUGAAGAAGCCACAAUUUUUUAAAAAGACAAGAAGACCCUUUUGAGCUUUAUUUUUUUUUAUAAUUAUUUUAUUUAAGAAAUUUGGUUGGGGCGACCAAGGAAGAUUGAUCUUCUUUUUUUUUACUUUGAUCCACUUUUUGUGAAUAACGGAUUAAGUUACCAAAGGGAUAACAGCGUAAUUUUUUUUGAGAGUUCUUAUUAAAAAAAAAGAUUGCGACCUCGAUGUUGACUUAUAACUGCUUUUUGGUGUAGCCGCUAAAAGAGUAGGUCUGUUCGACCUUUAAAGUUUU